UGGGGAAUAUUGCACAAUGGGCGAAAGCCUGAUGCAGCAACGCCGCGUGAGUGAUGAAGGCCUUCGGGUUGUAAAGCUCUGUCUUUUGGGACGAUAAUGACGGUACCAAAGGAGGAAGCCACGGCUAACUACGUGCCAGCAGCCGCGGUAAUACGUAGGUGGCAAGCGUUGUCCGGAUUUACUGGGCGUAAAGGAUGCGUAGGCGGAUUUUUAAGUGAGAUGUGAAAACCCUAAGCUUAACUUGGGGACUGCAUUUCAUACUGGAAAUCUAGAGUGCGGGAGAGGAGAAUGGAAUUCCUAGUGUAGCGGUGAAAUGCGUAGAGAUUAGGAAGAACACCGAGGUGACGGCAGGACGAUUCUCUGGACCGUAACUGACGCUGAGGCAUGAAAGCGUGGGUAGCAAACAGGAUUAGAUACCCUGGUAGUCCACGCCGUAAACGAUGAGUACUAGGUGUAGGAGGUAUCGACCCCUUCUGUGCCGCAGUUAACACAAUAAGUACUCCGCCU
rnacentral:rRNA from 1 species